GCGGGUUGUCCGUUGCGUUCGUUCCGCUCUCGCUCUCGGCCGUUCCGAAGAGACGACGCUGGCAGGGAGCAAAGAGACAGAAGCGACCGCAAGAUCCUGGGCGCUGGCCGACUAGCUCUACCGCCUCCGUGACACCUAUUUACUUCGAGACCCGAAGGAGAAGACCUCCAAGCUGAAGACCCUAGCCGACGCGGCUCUCGCCCUCGUCGAUUCACUCUAUUCGACUAUGAUAACCCUUCUCCCAUCGCUCUACGUCGAUCUAUUCUCGUUCGUGUCGGUUUCAAUGAACAAUUGGAAAUUUCACGCUUGAAAUGGAGAUGCUUGGUUAUGCUUGGGCAAUUGCAUUGGGAAGAAAGGGGAUUUUCCAUCAGCAGAAAACUGCUCUUCUUUAGCACUAAGCAAGAUGUGCAGGCUCUAGACAUAAUUCACUAGGUCGCUGAAUUCCUAUUGUUCGUAGUACUCAAUCAAAUAGCUUGGCCUUCCAGUAUAUAUUUAUUCAAGACCAAACUCAUUUCAUGCAGAGCCCUAACAUUGUCAACUAUUAAUGCUCAAAGGAAGUAUGGCCCAAGGCAAGCAAAUCAUCCUGUCUGUGCACAUUUUACUUGCAAUUUAAUAUGCUAAUCAAUGUUGCAUAAUAUGAGCAUAUGACAAAGUUACUAAAAGGAGAUUUAUGACAGAUAAGGGAAACAUGACUUUAAUAGAUUAUGUUUUAUUGGAAAAUUAUUGGAACAUGAAGUUUUUGAAGUCGUGUUAAGAAGCCUCAAAUAUCUGAAUCUAGUUGGGUAGUUUAUUAUUUUAUUAAAUAUAUAUCCAAACAGACAAUACAAUAAGAUACUCAAUUUGUCUACUACAUUAUGUGUCACUUGUAAAUCAUGGUAUAUCUUCAGUUUCUAAAUUUCAUAUGUAAUGUGAACUUUGACUUCAAAUCUAUGUGUAUUGUAAGUUUUGACUUCUUAAUUAAAGAUCUCCAUGGUUCCAGUUUUGGGGUUAUAACAAGUCAAAUAAUGUCCAAUACACCUAUCCAAUACAAAUUGUGCUUGUCUCUAUGUUGGUGCUUUUCUCGUCUACUUCCUGAAAAUUUCUUUCGUUUAAUUCUUGAUCCUUGAUUUGAGUUCUUACCUUAUUUAGAUUGUAUCCUCAUGUUUGUGCCAUAUGACCCAAUAUCUGGUUCGUCAUAGAUCAUACUAAACUUAAAGCAAUUCUGUAAGUAUUUGUGUAGUCAAAUGCUCCCCAUUUUUGUCGAGACUAUGCAUGAUGGAAUAUUUGUUUUAUUUAUUUAGUUCUUUCCAAAAUAUUAGCUAAGGUUUGUGCUAAGAGAUCUUUACUCUAUCUAUUUGAGGAUUAAUGUCCAAUACAAUUACAUGUAGAUACAGAGAAUAAAACAGUCUUGAUUGUUGAAAGCAUCAAACAUGCUGGAUGUCGAGAUGGAAAUUCUUAGUGUAAGUUCUUUUUCACAAAAGAAGUAUGAUUGAGAUUAUAUUUGAGUGUCCACAUUAACAUUUACAAAUUGCCAUCAUGGUGCAAAAUGUUUAAUAUGGUGGGUAUGAAAAGACAUGACUAUGACAGAGACUGGUAGGAACUGAUUAGCAUUAAACAAGUUUAUAGCCAACGGUAAUACGAAACAUACAAAUUUCACUUCAUAUUUUGUUAUUCUAGUUGUGGUUUGUGUCACUGAUUUUCAUAUUUUUAUUUAUCUCUCUGUGUUUCUGCCUUUCUUUCUUUUCUUUUUUCUUCCUUUUUCAAUUGACUUCUGUUUUUGCCUUUUCACUUUUCUUCUUUUUUCCUUUGCUUCUGUGAUGGUAAGCAUUUGUUUAGUUGUCCCUCCUUCUUAGUUUUAUACUACUGCUGUUUUAAAAGUUUUAACUUACUCUCUAACUGUCGCCUCCCUUUUUUUCUUCUUAUUUCACUUCUUACACGACUGUUUUCUGCAGCUGCUUUUACACUGGAUAAUACUAUUUAGGGGUAGUAAAUCUUCUUAUUGAUUGACACUACCUUUAUAUAAAACAUGACAACAAAUACCCGUCACUUUUCUAAGGUAUUUGCCUUGUGCCUCAUGCAUCAUGUGUCAUCCCUCGUGCAUCGCAGUUAGUCUUCAGUAGAGCUUUUAGCUCCUUAGUACUCCUUGCGCCCUUGGUAACUUUAAUGUGGCUCCUUAUAUGAUAGGCUUGCUUUAAUAGAAUAGAUCAUGCUUUAUGAUUAAGCAAGUAUGUAGAUGGUGAUUAUGUUAGCAAUCUAAGUAUACUGCAGUUAGAUGCACUUGAAAGUGACACCAGUUGAAGUUAUUGUGUAUGAAGUUGAUGGACCAGUUUAUCGUUGCUCACAUCACUUAUGGUUCUCUAGUUUAGCUUUUGACACUUCCCUUUGUUUAUUCUUGAUGUCCCUAUGCUCAGUUUUUCAAGUCGCUUCUUUCUUUGCUAAUCCAACAGGACAAAUGAAUUUGUAUGUCUUGUAUACUAAAUGAAUUAACCUAUCUGAUGAUUGAUUAUUUGCAUUUCAGUGAACUGCUGAUUUUAGAUUAAAUUUUAAGUUCUGAGUUCAGACUGGUUAUGGGAAAUAUUAGUUCAAAGUUCCUUUUGAGUUUUGACCACUAUUUUUUGCUUCAUUUACUAUUUUGAUAUUCCUAUUCUAUAGAUUUUCAACAAGUUGCAUCUCUCUGUCAUGGUUUGGUAAGUCAUAUCCAAGAUACUGGAACAGACUGAUUCAUUGAUCUCCUUCAAUAAAAUGUGGCUUGUGCAUGUAGGUUUUAGAUCCCCACUUGUAUUAUUAAAGAUUCAUCACUAUCAUAACUGAUCUUGUACCAUCUACAGCCUGUAUAGUAGGAUAACGCAGGACUUAUUCAUAUCGAGAAGGGAGCAGAUCCUUGUUGCAUUCAGCCUCAGCUUGUAUUUGUUAACAUAACAUUAAAUUGCAUGCACUUCUGGCAGCAAUUCUUAUCUGUUCUCUGAUAGUUUGUUUGAUAUGAAUCAGCACUGUCACUUCCAGUCUAUUCAAUAUUCAUGUUGAUUUUGUGGAACAAAUUCUUGUUAAUGACAAAGUCCUAGUACCUCAUCAUUUUGCUGGCCUGCAUAUGUGCACAGCAUGAAGCUUGAAGCAUGUAACUGGAAUAACCAUGAUGGAUUUUUGUUCGUCGUCUUUCUUUACCAAGGUAACAUUUUGAUGUCUAACGUUAAUGUGCUCCUUGUCUCUUGAAGUAUUAAGCAUAAAUUUUCAGUAUUUAUAUUCCUUGUGCUUUGUUUCCAGUCAUAAUAUGGACUUGUUUUAUGGAAGAUUGGUUGGGUAUAAUAUUGAUUAUCUCAACUAGUUAAAAUUUUAAAUCUUGAUAGCCUCAAAUCCUACCAAGAAAUAAAAACUUUUGCUUAUUGUUUAUACCGUCCUAUCUUAAUUGAUCAACUUGAACCUGAGAUAGUUAUGUGAUGGUUCUUGUUUAUGUCCUCGACUUGAAGGUGGAGUUGAGCUCAAAGAACCACUUCUCGGCAUUGUACUUCCCCAUAGAUGAUUUUUCUGUGAAUCAGUAACAAUAUCAGCUUAUGGCUGUUUCUUUAAUUGCAAUUGCAACAAGUAUAAUCCUGUAGAUAAUUCCUUUUUUGUGAAGGUUUUUGUAGUAUGUAUUGACUGAACUGGUGAUUUACAUAAACAAAUAGACCUUAAUAUCAUGUUUGUUUUUCUUAGUGACCAUUGACAUUGUUCAGAUCAUUAUCUCCAGAAUAAUAUUACAGCACGAGAAGUCAACAAAGUAGAGACAUGUAAAACUCCCCUCAAGCAUCAGACUUCUCAGCCACUUCUGUUUGCUUGUUGACCCUGCUUCUGAGUUCUUCAAAAGCACGCAUGCUUUCUGCAUCAAAUCCUCCAGCAAA